AUUGAACGCUGGCGGCAGGCCUAACACAUGCAAGUCGAGCGGAUGAAGGGAGCUUGCUCCUGGAUUCAGCGGCGGACGGGUGAGUAAUGCCUAGGAAUCUGCCUGGUAGUGGGGGAUAACGUCCGGAAACGGGCGCUAAUACCGCAUACGUCCUGAGGGAGAAAGUGGGGGAUCUUCGGACCUCACGCUAUCAGAUGAGCCUAGGUCGGAUUAGCUAGUUGGUGGGGUAAAGGCCUACCAAGGCGACGAUCCGUAACUGGUCUGAGAGGAUGAUCAGUCACACUGGAACUGAGACACGGUCCAGACUCCUACGGGAGGCAGCAGUGGGGAAUAUUGGACCAUGGGCGAAAGCCUGAUCCAGCCAGGCCGCGUGUGUGAAGAAGGUCUUCGGAUUGUAAAGCACUUUAAGUGGGGAGGAAGGGCAGUAAGUUAAUACCUUGCUGUUUUGACGUUACCAACAGAAUAAGCACCGGCUAACUUCGUG
rnacentral:rRNA from 1 species